UUAGAGUUUGAUCAUGGCUCAGAUUGAACGCUGGCGGCAGGCCUAACACAUGCAAGUCGAGCGGAUGACGGGAGCUUGCUCCUUGAUUCAGCGGCGGACGGGUGAGUAAUGCCUAGGAAUCUGCCUGGUAGUGGGGGACAACGUUUCGAAAGGAACGCUAAUACCGCAUACGUCCUACGGGAGAAAGCAGGGGACCUUCGGGCCUUGCGCUAUCAGAUGAGCCUAGGUCGGAUUAGCUUGUUGGUGAGGUAAUGGCUCACCAAGGCGACGAUCCGUAACUGGUCUGAGAGGAUGAUCAGUCACACUGGAACUGAGACACGGUCCAGACUCCUACGGGAGGCAGCAGUGGGGAAUAUUGGACAAUGGGCGAAAGCCUGAUCCAGCCAUGCCGCGUGUGUGAAGAAGGUCUUCGGAUUGUAAAAAAGGUUAAGUUGGGAGGAAGGGCAGUAAGUUAAUACCCUUGCUGUUUUGACGUACCACGAUAAGCCC
rnacentral:rRNA from 1 species